rnacentral:rRNA from 1 species
UACAGAGGGUGCGAGCGUUAAUCGGAAUUACUGGGCGUAAAGGGCGCGUAGGCGGCGAGAUAAGUGGGUUGUGAAAGACCUGGGCUUAACCUGGGGAGGUCAAUCCAAACUGUUGAGCUGGAGUACUGUAGAGGGUAUUGGAAUUUCCGGUGUAGCGGUGAAAUGCGUAGAGAUCGGAAGGAACACCGGUGGCGAAGGCGAAUACCUGGACAGAUACUGACGCUGAAGCGCGAGAGCGUGGGGAGCAAACAGG